UUCCCCAUAAAAUGCGCACAUGUGGCAGCUCGUGCACAGUUAAUGUGUUGUCGGGCUCUUAAAGGGACAAUAUUUCGACCUAUCAGCAUCACACACAAUUACGAUAUAAAAGGUUAAAAUACAGAGGAGGCAGAGUUGUUAUGGUUUUCACCUGGGUCUGAAUAUUGAGGCCGGGGCUGAAGACAUACGAAGAUUCUUUACCAACUUCUACAUCCCAGAAGGUGGUGUGUGUAUAUACACUGCUCAAAAAAAUAAAGGGAACACCUAAACAGCACAAUGUAA